rnacentral:rRNA from 1 species
GUGUCAGCCGCCGCGGUAAUACGGAGGGGGCUAGCGUUGUUCGGAAUUACUGGGCGUAAAGCGCACGUAGGCGGAUCAGCAAGUUAGGGGUGAAAUCCCGGGGCUCAACCCCGGAACUGCCUUUAAAACUGUUGGUCUGGAGUCCGAGAGAGGUGAGUGGAAUUCCGAGUGUAGAGGUGAAAUUCGUAGAUAUUCGGAGGAACACCAGUGGCGAAGGCGGCUCACUGGCUCGGUACUGACGCUGAGGUGCGAAAGCGUGGGGAGCAAACAGGAUUAGAAACCCCAGUAGUCC